rnacentral:rRNA from 1 species
GAACGCUGGCGGCGCGCUUAACACAUGCAAGUCGAGCGAGAACCAGCCCUUCGGGGCUGGGGAAAGCGGCGAACGGGUGAGUAACACGUGAGUAAUCUGCCCUCGGCACCGGGAUAGCCCGUGGAAACGCGGAUUAAUACCGGAUGGCCCGCCGGCCCUUAGGGGCUGUCGGAAAAGGUAGCUUCGGCCUCCGGCCGAGGAGGAGCUCGCGGCCGAUUAGCUAGUUGGCGGGGUAAGAGCCCACCAAGGCGACGAUCGGUAGCUGGUCUGAGAGGACGAUCAGCCACACUGGGACUGAGACACGGCCCAGACUCCUACGGGAGGCAGCAGUGGGGAAUCUUGCGCAAUGGGCGAAAGCCUGACGCAGCGACGCCGCGUGCGGGAAGAAGGCCUUCGGGUUGUAAACCGCUUUCAGGAGGGACGAAGCCACUCGGGUUAAUAGCCCAGAGGGUGACGGUACCUCCAGAAGAAGCCCCGGCUAACUACGUGCCAGCAGCCGCGGUAAUACGUAGGGGGCAAGCGUUGUCCGGAUUUAUUGGGCGUAAAGAGCGUGUAGGCGGCUUGGCAAGUCCGCUGUGAAAACUCGAGGCUCAACCUCGAGACGUCGGUGGAAACUGCCUCGCUAGAGUCCGGAAGAGGAGAGUGGAAUUCCUGGUGUAGCGGUGAAAUGCGCAGAUAUCAGGAAGAACACCCGUGGCUAAGGCGGCUCUCUAGUACGGUACUGACGCUGAGACGCGAAAGCGUGGGGAGCGAACAGGAUUAGAUACCCUGGUAGUCCACGCCGUAAACGAUGGGUGCUAGGUGUGGGGGGUGUCGACUCCCUCCGUGCCGAAGCUAACGCAUUAAGCACCCCGCCUGGGGAGUACCGCCGCAAGGCUAAAACUCAAAG